rnacentral:misc_RNA from 1 species
GUGUCACACUAGGUUCAGUCUGGAAACUAAAAAAUAAAGUGGAACUGUGCAAUAAGAAACAUUGGUCUCAGCAGGGUAAAAAGAAAGGAAAGAGGUCAGUUUACUUGUAAAACGGUAGAUUAUAGAGCUAAUUUCUAACACUGGAAGAGGCUGAAAUUUCCUGUGAGAAGAAAGGUGGGGUGAGAGGCUGGGUUCAGCAGACAGCAAUGGGAGAGAUGAGAAUGGAGCAGCACGGCUGUGCUAGUUAUGUUGCAGCGCAAGAAGUCUUAUGUUGUAGUGCAAGAAGUCUUAUGUUUUAUAUUCUACUAUGCCUUUUUCCAUUGAUAUGCCCCAACUCUGAAAUGAAAAGAUAUAUGUGUGCGUGUGUGUGUGGGUCUUUACGCUAUUCAAGUUCUUGAAUUGUCACAUGCUUGUGAAGCAUCUAUUCCAUUAUGGAGAUUCUGAUUGAUAUUUGAGCUUGAGGGGAAA